ensembl:lncRNA
GCGGUGUGAAGUGGGGAAUGAAUAGGCUGUCAGUGUGUAUGUGGAGAGUGAAAGACUGGAGGAGGGGAGACCUGCCAGUGCUGGGAGGAAGAACAAAGCCCAGCUGUCCUCGGAGAACAGCAGCAGGUCACCGUAGCCACCAGAUCCAGUCUGUAUCCAGAUCAGAUGGUCAUUGCAGUUACCCGGAUACAGUACGUUUCCAGCCCUAAUGGUGGAUCAGCACCUAAGGAUGACUUCGACAGCCCUGAAUGUCAGUGGAGACUAAGACAACUAGGAUGCGCCCCAGAGACAGAUCCCCAAGACAGAUCUUGUUUCCUAGAUGGCCACCGGGACAAGACCACAGGAACCAGAUGAGUUCUCUGGAUAAUGUGACUUUGCUGCAGCCUGGAAUUGAACUGCUGGUUUCGUCUGGCCAGAGGUGAACUGCCCCCCUCCCUCACCCCCGCCUUUAACUGAAAAUUGAGUGUUUACUAUCGUCAUUUUGCAUUAUUGACACACUAUUUUUCUAUUUAACACUGUAAAGUGUUAGUUCAUUGGCCUGAACUUGACUGGGUUGCCAUGAUUUUGCCAAGUAAGAAAUGUUCCAGGAUUAACAUCUUUUGUUGAUCCUGGAUCAACAUUACUGUCUAAAAAUAUAGACCUAACCCAAUCCCUACCCCUAAACUUAAGCCUACCCAUGAUUUAUUCCUAAAAUCAGAGGGAAAUGAUAGGUGCAUAAAAAGAGUGUAGAAGCAUUUCACCCUGAUUGUAAGCCUAAAACUGACAUUUCUUGAAAACUUAUCCCUCAGUUCUGAUUGGUUGAUUGGAAUGUUGUUCCAGGAUCAACAAGGAUGUUGAUCCAGAAACAUGUUGUACUUGGUGAAAUCAUGUUCAUCACAUGACUAAAGACAUCUGAUUUAAAUUAGUUAUAUAGCCUAAUAUUAUACAACUGAAUCAUGUUUUUACUGCUAAGGUUUUUUUUUUUUUUUUUUUUUUUUUUUUUUUUUUUUUUCUCAGAAUAAGGCACCUCUGUGUAUGGUGAUUUCCAUAAUUUUUUGCUGCAGUUAAUCAGGAGCUUUACUUAAACAGUUAAGUGCUACAGAAUGCUAAGCUGGUAGGCUAACUGAUCACACAAAAAAAAGUGAGAGAUUUCAUUUGACCACUUUAACUUUGAUAAUAAAGUAGAUUAUAAUGUGAUAUGUACUUAAAAG